rnacentral:rRNA from 1 species
UACGAAGGGGGCUAGCGUUGCUCGGAAUCACUGGGCGUAAAGGGUGCGUAGGCGGGUCUUUAAGUCAGGGGUGAAAUCCUGGAGCUCAACUCCAGAACUGCCUUUGAUACUGAGGAUCUUGAGUUCGGGAGAGGUGAGUGGAACUGCGAGUGUAGAGGUGAAAUUCGUAGAUAUUCGCAAGAACACCAGUGGCGAAGGCGGCUCUCUGGGACGGUACUGACGCUGAGACGCGAAAGCGUGGGGAGCAAACAGG